rnacentral:rRNA from 1 species
GUGGGGAAUAUUGGACAAUGGACCAAAAGUCUGAUCCAGCAAUUCUGUGUGCACGAUGACGUUUUUCGGAAUGUAAAGUGCUUUCAGUUGGGAAGAAAAAAAUGACGGUACCAACAGAAGAAGUGACGGCUAAAUACGUGCCAGCAGCCGCGGUAAUACGUAUGUCACAAGCGUUAUCCGGAUUUAUUGGGCGUAAAGCGCGUCUAGGUGGUUAUGUAAGUCUGAUGUGAAAAUGCAGGGCUCAACUCUGUAUUGCGUUGGAAACUGUGUAACUAGAGUACUGGAGAGGUAAGCGGAACUACAAGUGUAGAGGUGAAAUUCGUAGAUAUUUGUAGGAAUGCCGAUGGGGAAGCCAGCUUACUGGACAGAUACUGACGCUAAAGCGCGAAAGCGUGGGUAGCAAACAGG